CUGCCCUGUGGUCUCUGUGAACGGGUUUACAGGCUGCUGGAAGACACCUCGUUCAGCUGUUCAAGGGGAGACCUGAGGAGUUCCAGGGCCAGCUUGUCCUGGGGAAUCCCCUUGGCCUCGUCCCAGUGGGACGGGCCAAGAAGACCUUCUGAGGGUGGUGUCCAUGAGGCAUCCAACACAGAUGUCCGAGCCACCUCAGAUGACUUGUCUCCAUGUGGAGGAGAAGUGGCUCUAAGCCGAGCCAGAUGAUCGAGCUCUUCAUCCUAUCUCUAAGCCUGAGCAGCUGCAGACUCUGGAUGGACCCUGGCUUCUGGCAGUGGGCCUGUUUAAAACCAUUCCUGUCACGUUGUUGCUGAGCUUUGGUCAAAAGAAGGUGACACUGAUCCUGGCCCGAGCUGCUUACAGCUGGCUUAUUUCCCACAUAUCCAAGAAGCACUCAGAUUGUCCAGAUCCAUAAGUAGUGAUUAUAACACCUUAGAAUAGAUGGCAUGUGCUCAAAUCCUAAGAUUAUGCCUGUGAGAUCCUGUCUGAAGAAGAGUAAUCACUGUUGGGAAUCAAGAAGUUUAAGGUGCACUGGAUUGAUCAAGGAAGAAGACAGAGUGAUGGACAGGAACCUGUUAUAAAGGUUGGGUUGUUGAGAUGUAAACACCAAUGAAUGAUUUUAUGACUACAUCUAUA